rnacentral:misc_RNA from 1 species
GGGGCAAGUUUCGUCCUUCUUUUUUUUUUUUGUGGCCCUUCUUGGUUGAUGUUUCAUCUAAAACAUUCUCAAAAUUUAUGUUAAGAGUUUCCAUAUUAUUUUUCAGAUGCAGGCAUGCAGCUAUUCAGAGAAGUUCAUUUGCGCCUCAGAUUAAAAACAACAAGGAUCACAGACAUUUAACUUCCACGGGGACAACAAAAAGAGCCCUAAUUUGAUGUGCCCAAUAAAAACAACUUACUUACAUUCAAG